rnacentral:rRNA from 1 species
ACGAACGCUGGCGGCGUGCCUAAUACAUGCAAGUAGAACGCUGAAGAGAGGAGCUUGCUCUUCUUGGAUGAGUUGCGAACGGGUGAGUAACGCGUAGGUAACCUGCCUUGUAGCGGGGGAUAACUAUUGGAAACGAUAGCUAAUACCGCAUAACAAUGGAUGACACAUGUCAUUUAUUUGAAAGGGGCAAUUGUUCCACUACAAGAUGGACCUGCGUUGUAUUAGCUAGUAGGUGAGGUAAUGGCUCACCUAGGCGACGAUACAUAGCCGACCUGAGAGGGUGAUCGGCCACACUGGGACUGAGACACGGCCCAGACUCCUACGGGAGGCAGCAGUAGGGAAUCUUCGGCAAUGGGGGCAACCCUGACCGAGCAACGCCGCGUGAGUGAAGAAGGUUUUCGGAUCGUAAAGCUCUGUUGUAAGUCAAGAACGGGUGUGAGAGUGGAAAGUUCACACUGUGACGGUAGCUUACCAGAAAGGGACGGCUAACUACGUGCCAGCAGCCGCGGUAAUACGUAGGUCCCGAGCGUUGUCCGGAUUUAUUGGGCGUAAAGCGAGCGCAGGCGGUUUGAUAAGUCUGAAGUUAAAGGCUGUGGCUCAACCAUAGUUCGCUUUGGAAACUGUCAAACUUGAGUGCAGAAGGGGAGAGUGGAAUUCCAUGUGUAGCGGUGAAAUGCGUAGAUAUAUGGAGGAACACCGGUGGCGAAAGCGGCUCUCUGGUCUGUAACUGACGCUGAGGCUCGAAAGCGUGGGGAGCGAACAGGAUUAGAUACCCUGGUAGUCCACGCCGUAAACGAUGAGUGCUAGGUGUUGGAUCCUUUCCGGGAUUCAGUGCCGCAGCUAACGCAUUAAGCACUCCGCCUGGGGAGUACGACCGCAAGGUUGAAACUCAAAGGAAUUGACGGGGGCCCGCACAAGCGGUGGAGCAUGUGGUUUAAUUCGAAGCAACGCGAAGAACCUUACCAGGUCUUGACAUCCCGAUGCUAUUUCUAGAGAGAUAUAGUGACGUCGGUACAUCGGUGACAGGUGGUGCAUGGUUGUCGUCAGCUCGUGUCGUGAGAUGUUGGGUUAAGUCCCGCAACGAGCGCAACCCCUAUUGUUAGUUGCCAUCAUUCAGUUGGGCACUCUAGCGAGACUGCCGGUAAUAAACCGGAGGAAGGUGGGGAUGACGUCAAAUCAUCAUGCCCCUUAUGACCUGGGCUACACACGUGCUACAAUGGUUGGUACAACGAGUUGCGAGUCGGUGACGGCGAGCUAAUCUCUUAAAGCCAAUCUCAGUUCGGAUUGUAGGCUGCAACUCGCCUACAUGAAGUCGGAAUCGCUAGUAAUCGCGGAUCAGCACGCCGCGGUGAAUACGUUCCCGGGCCUUGUACACACCGCCCGUCACACCACGAGAGUUUGUAACACCCGAAGUCGGUGAGGUAACCUUUUGGAGCCAGCCGCCUAAGGUGGGACAGAUGAUUGGGGUG